CGGACGGACUGAUCGCUAGGAUGAUAUCCGACUUCGCGGUUCGAUCGGCUUUUUCCCAUGCUGCUCUGGCAGCGGUGGCGUUCGGAUUUCCCUCGACGGCUUCCGGCUUCGCCUCUUCUCCGUUUACAAUGGACCACGAGUCGCUCUUGACGAGCAGGGCCUCCAUUUGAAUGCGCCACGUAUCAUAAUUGUCCUUUCCAAGCGGCUCGAUGCGGACGGUGUGCUGUGAUGCCAUCCUGUUCCGCGCUCGUGUUACUCUCGAUGUUCUCGAAAAAGGAAUCGGUUAUUAUUCUCUUUUUCCUUGUGUUCACACACGCACUUCGCGUUCACUUUGUAAUUAAUUCACACGCACUUCGCGUUUACUUUGUAAUUAAUUUACGCGUCGUUCUGGGCCCAUAACCUGUUGACGAAGCUCAAGUGAAUGCGAACACACAGAGCGUGUGCAGAGAACUAACAAGACAUACGAUUUAAACAAACGUGAUCGUUACGUGCGUCGAUAUUGAUUAAACAAGCGUUGUCGUUACGUGCGUCGAUAUUGAUUAAACAAAAAAAGAAACAGCGCGCAUCGCUGAUAUCCGAAGUUAGUAGUUACACAAGAUGUAUUGCUCGUAUAUAAGUGCCAGGACAAAUCUCAACAAUAUCCUUCUUACUACACAUAACAUAAAUAAAUAAUUACACGGCAUACUUAAGCAUCUAAUCAGUUAUGUAAUAUUGAACAAUCGGAUAUCUAGAGUCGACGUACAAUUACAGCAUAAUCUCCAACAUCUAUUUAACAAGCUAGCGUCCAUUGUACAUGUAUAUACAUGUAUACUUAGUAAUUUAAUAGUACUGUUAAGCAGUGAUACUUAAACAACGCUAACUGGAAGAAUAAUCCGGCUGGAAAUAUAAGCCCAUCUUAAUCGUCUCUUCAAACGACUGGCUGUGUGCAUAAGACUUCAUACAAUUUGCCUGUGUUAUGUAAGAUAAAACCAGGCAACAUUUAUCACUGAUUCAUGCAAAUUCCUUUGACAUUUAACAAUAAAAAAGAUCACGUUGCAUUUCCAUUUUACGAUUACGUCAACGUGUGGAUAUCGUUCGUACCAUUUUCCAGUCCCGACCGCAGCGAAUCAGCCUCGUCCUUCCUUGAGCAGCACAGCUGCAUGCUUUCGUCUUUUACGUCUCUUUCCUGGGAACAUCGCGAAUGAAAAAUGAUGCCAGUCGCGCGCGUCGGACUUGGGCGGGCAUUACAUAAAGAAACGAGAUCAGUUCGCCGCGCGAAGGCGGCUACAGAAAGCUUUUUCCCAUAAAAAGUACCGGAAGAGAGAGAGAGGGGAGGGGGGGGAGGAAAGGAGAGAAUGAAAGAGAGAGAGAGAGAAACUGCCCUCGGAAACGACUUCUCCACCGAGUAGCCGGAGCUAUCCCGGCGGUAUAUAAACAACGCAUGCAUAUAACGACGAUGUUGCAGGUGCUGGAAGUUAGCGGCCCAGCGGCAAAUAACGCAAAAAGUAUGACGUAUUCGAAACAGGAUUAUCAGAGCGUAAUAAUUAUUGAAGAACCGAAAAAGGAAGCUGUAAAGCUGUGCGCAAUAUGAAGUAUUACGCGUACAAUACGGAAUGAUAAGGCACGGAUUGGAUAAUCGCUUUGUAUGGAGUCUCGUUGAUUCGUUCUCGACUUUUUGAUUUACAGCGUUAAAUCAUUAUGCAAACGAUCACCUGUACGAUUACAACGUGAAUCUGCAUGAGGAUGUUAUCAUAAACAAAAAAGUAUUUUUGCAAACACUGUUUGCUGUGUAUUGAACACACGCAUAAUAAAUCUUUGUUUCGCAGUGAUUUCUGUCAUCAGGAGAAAUUCCAGUGCUUCCCCGAAGACUGCGUGCUGACCUCUCGCAAGCACGCGGUUAACUUCUAUGUAUGGCACGUGGCUAUUGAUUUCCCAACGGUACCGGAAACCGGAAAACCGCUGCGCUCGAAAGAGAGAAACCGAAAAGAAAAUCGAAACGCCGAACUAGAUAAAGUAAUCUUCCAAUUGUGCCAGAUAGCUGAAACAAUUGUGCAGUUUAUCCCAUUGCGUCACGAGAUACUGUUUUAACCAUAUCGAGCGGUGAAAUGCACAAAGGGAGUAACUACCGGCACGUAUUCGGUUUUACGAUACCAUUCUGAUGUUGCAUUAAACGCACGCCGCUCGCGAAAGUCUUCAGUGAAGUUUAUCCAUUCUCGCGAUUUACGCGGGACAGGCAUUGUUUCCGUGAAAACGAGGUUUACGAGAAACUAGACAAUGUUAAUAAAUUAAUGGAGCGUGUUUUGAUAUUCUGAUCAUUACUCGCGCGAGGUGACUCGAGAAAGUUACCGUGAACCAAAUAGUCCAAGUUAAUCUCGAGGAUGUUGAGGAGAUUUACGUACUUUGCCUUUAGAAUGCACGGCACACGAAUGGAACAACAGAAUGAGCCAUUAGUUCUACGAUUCUUUUUCUUUUUAUAUCCUUUUAAUUUGCGAACGGAGGAUCUCCCACGUGAUAGUCGAGUUGUCACGCGAUUUCUCACGGAUUCUAAAUACGAUAUCGCAGUGGAGCAUUAGGAGAUGCGAAUACUCGAAUGAUGGGGCUGUAUUUAUACAAAGAUAUAUAUUGCAUCUUAUUAGUAAAUAA